GCUCCAAUAGCGUAUAUUAAAGUUGUUGCGGUUAAAAAGCUCGUAGUUGGAUUUCGGGUGUGAACGACCGGUCCGUCUUUGAUGUGUACUGGUUGGUUGCGCCUUAUUGUCGAGGACGUGGUUCUAGCUUUCAUUAGCCGGGACACGGAGUCGGCAGCGUUACUUUGAGAAAAUUAGAGUGUUCAAAGCAGGCUAUCGCU
rnacentral:rRNA from 1 species